UACGAAUGGAGCGAGCGUUGUUCGGAAUCACUGGGCGUAAAGCGUGCGCAGGCGGUCGUGAAAGUUAGAAGUGAAAGCCCAGGGCUUAACCUUGGAAUUGCUUUUAAAACUCCACGACUAGAGUACUGGAGGGGUUGGCGGAAUUUCGAGUGUAGCAGUGAAAUGCGUAGAUAUUCGAAGGAACACCGAUGGCGUAGGCAGCCAACUGGACAGUUACUGACGCUCAGGCACGAAAGUAUGGGGAGCAAACAGG
rnacentral:rRNA from 1 species